UAACAGAGAUCCAAUUCCUUAGAAAACCUUGCCCUCAAGGUUAGGGUACCGUCGUCUUAGAGAGGCUAAGUCUUCCCAUGUGGCAUCGUCUUCCCCAUGCCAGUCCACUGCACCAAAACCUCCACUCAUGUUGUGUUUCCUAUUCUUUUAAGCUUCCUUUGCAUGAUUCUUUUUGGUUCGGGUGCAAAAGCCCCCUCUCACAAUCGGUAAGGUUGUACAUGACUGAACCCCUUCUCACAGCUUCUUCUUAAGGCAAGAGAUGCAAAAUAUGGGAUAAAUCCAUGCCUCUCGAGGAAGAUCUAACUCAUAUGCCACCUUCCCAACUCUGCGCACCACCCUAAGCGGCUCGUAAUACCUUGGUGCUAUUCCAAGAUUCUGUUGCACAAUCACCGUCAUCUGCCUGUAGGGGCAUAAUCUUAGCUUGCACCUUGGUGGAUCCGUGCUCAUAUGGCAACAUCCGUGGAGGAGGUUGGCCAUACACAGCUUCAUAGGGUGUCACCUUCAUCGACGAGUGUACUGAGGUAUGGACAAUGGUUGGAGCAACCUCGCUGGGUGAAGGAUUUCAACAUUGCUCCUCUGGCACACGUCACAUUCCUUGACAAAUGCCCUCACAUCACUUCUUAAGAUCUGCUGCUGGAAAGCCACCAAGGAUCCAAGAUAUAUCAUUCCUUUGUAAAAGAGGAGUUCAUUUCGGACUUGGUAUAGAGAUUGGUCUAGGGCUCCAUAUGGUAGUGGCUGCUUAGAAGCUGCUACAACAUGGGGUCCUACUGGUAAGCUUUCUUCAAGUCCGCCACCCACUAUGCCUGCACUAUGCUGAUUACUUGGGUUUAUAUGGGAUGAUUUUUGGGUGUUUUGUUUGUGGUUUGUGUUUUGGAGGAUGGUCUUAUGGUGGUUGAGUUUAUGGGUGUUGUUUGGAUGGUGGAUGGUUCUGGGAUAUGUGUUUGUAAUUUGGGUUGGAUAAGUGUUUGAGCAUAAUGGUUCUUGAUAUAGGACUCUUGAGAGAGGGUUUAUGGGUGUUGUUUGGAUGGUGGAUGGUUCCAGGAUAUCUGUGUUUGUGGUUUGGGUUGGAUAAGUGUUUGAGUAUAAUGGUUAUUGAUAUUAGACCCAUGAGAGAGCAUUAGCCACAACGUUGCCUUUUUCACUUCUAUACUCUACUAUGAAAUCAUAACCCAAUAAUUUAAAAACUCACUUCUAUUGUAAUGGUGUCCUCACCCUUUGCUCUAGCAAAUAUUUGAGUAGUGCGUACUUUGAAGGAUUAUCUUAAUAGGUAGUGCCUCCAUUUCCUCACUAUCAUCACCAAAGCCAAUAACUCAUUUUCAUAAGUAGAGAGACUUAGACUUCUCCAUUUUAAAGCCUGACUAAAAUAGGCUAGAGGCUACCCUUCUUGCAUUAGUACUGCUCCCAAAGCCUCUCCUAAAGCAUCACAUUACACAACAAACAUUUUAGCAAAGUUAGGUAACCUUAGAACAAGGGGACUUACCAUAGCCUCUUUGAGUCUCUCGAAUGCCUCUUGUGCCUUCUCAUUCCAAAGAAAAUAAUUCUUCUUCAAAAGAAAUGUGAGUGGGGUUGCUAUUGCUCCAUAACUUUGCACACAUUUUCUGUAGUACCAUGUGAGUCCUAAAAAAUCCCUCAAUGACUUAAGGUUUUUAGGACUUGGCAGGUUUUUAGGACUUCGCCAGUUUUGCAUAGCAAUUAGUUUUUGUGGAUCUGCCCUUACUCCUUCUUUUGAAAUGAGAUGCCCCAAGUACUUCAUCUCUCUGCUGCCAAAAACACAUUUUGACCUCUUUACAAAUAACUGUUUUGUUUGUAACACUUCUAGCACCCUUGUGAAAUGUUGUACAUGCUCUUUCAUAGACUUACUGUAUAUUAAGAUAUCAUCAAAGAAUACUAGAACAAACUUCCUUAGAUAUGACCUAAACACUUCAUUCAUCACUCCUUGAAAUGUUGAUGAUGCAUUAGUAAGCCCAAAAUGCAUUACCAAGAAUUCAUAAUGACCUUCAUGAGUUCUAAAUAGGAGCGGCUCUCCCAUAAGGUGAGUUAGGCAGUUGCCUAAGGCCUCACAGUGGAAGAAGAUCUCAAAAAAUACUAAGAAAAUAAUUAAGUAAAAACAAUUUUAAAAAAAAAUU